rnacentral:rRNA from 1 species
GCUACUUUGCCGGCGAGCGGCGGACGGGUGAGUAAUGUCUGGGAAACUGCCCGAUGGAGGGGGAUAACCACUGGAAACGGUGGCUAAUACCGCAUAACGUCUUCGGACCAAAGUGGGGGACCUUCGGGCCUCACACCAUCGGAUGUGCCCAGAUGGGAUUAGCUAGUAGGUGGGGUAAUGGCUCACCUAGGCGACGAUCCCUAGCUGGUCUGAGAGGAUGACCAGCCACACUGGAACUGAGACACGGUCCAGACUCCUACGGGAGGCAGCAGUGGGGAAUAUUGCACAAUGGGCGCAAGCCUGAUGCAGCCAUGCCGCGUGUGUGAAGAAGGCCUUCGGGUUGUAAAGCACUUUCAGCGAGGAGGAAGGGUAGUGUCUUAAUACGGCAUUACAUUGACGUUACUCGCAGAAGAAGCACCGGCUAACUCCGUGCCAGCAGCCGCGGUAAUACGGAGGGUGCAAGCGUUAAUCGGAAUUACUGGGCGUAAAGCGCACGCAGGCGGUUUGUUAAGUCAGAUGUGAAAUCCCCGAGCUUAACUUGGGAACUGCAUUUGAAACUGGCAGACUAGAGUCUCGUAGAGGGGGGUAGAAUUCCAGGUGUAGCGGUGAAAUGCGUAGAGAUCUGGAGGAAUACCGGUGGCGAAGGCGGCCCCCUGGACGAAGACUGACGCUCAGGUGCGAAAGCGUGGGGAGCAAACAGGAUUAGAUACCUGUGGUAAGUCCCAGUU